rnacentral:rRNA from 1 species
AUUGAACGCUGGCGGCAUGCCUUACACAUGCAAGUCGAACGGUAACAGGGAGCUUGCUCCGCUGACGAGUGGCGAACGGGUGAGUAAUGUAUCGGAACGUGCCAUUCAGUGGGGGAUAACGUAGCGAAAGUUACGUUAAUACCGCAUAUUCUGUGAGCAGGAAAGCAGGGGAUCGCAAGACCUUGCGCUGAUUGAGCGGCCGAUAUCAGAUUAGCUAGUUGGUGAGGUAAAGGCUCACCAAGGCGACGAUCUGUAGCGGGUCUGAGAGGAUGAUCCGCCACACUGGAACUGAGACACGGUCCAGACUCCUACGGGAGGCAGCAGUGGGGAAUUUUGGACAAUGGGGGCAACCCUGAUCCAGCCAUGCCGCGUGAGUGAAGAAGGCCUUCGGGUUGUAAAGCUCUUUCGGCCGGGAAAAAAUCGCACGGGUUAAUACCCUGUGUGGAUGAUGGUACCGGAAUAAGAAGCACCGGCUAACUACGUGCCAGCCGCCGCCGUAA